rnacentral:rRNA from 1 species
CAUAGGUUAACGAGGCGAACCGGGGGAACUGAAACAUCUAAGUACCCCGAGGAAAAGAAAUCAACCGAGAUUCCCCCAGUAGCGGCGAGCGAACGGGGAGCAGCCCGGAGUCUGAAUCAGCUUGUGUGUUAGUGGAACGGUCUGGAAAGUCCGACGGUACAGGGUGAUAGUCCCGUACACGAAAAUGCACAGGUUGUGAACUCGAAGAGUAGGGCGGGACACGUGGUAUCCUGUCUGAAUAUGGGGGGACCAUCCUCCAAGGCUAAAUACUCCUGACUGACCGAUAGUGAACCAGUACCGUGAGGGAAAGGCGAAAAGAACCCCGGCGAGGGGAGUGAAAAAGAACCUGAAACCGUGUACGUACAAGCAGUGGGAGCCUCUUUAUGGGGUGACUGCGUACCUUUUGUAUAAUGGGUCAGCGACUUAUAUUCUGUAGCAAGGUUAACCGUAUAGGGGAGCCGAAGGGAAACCGAGUCUUAACUGGGCGUUAAGUUGCAGGGUAUAGACCCGAAACCCGGUGAUCUAGCCAUGGGCAGGUUGAAGGUUGGGUAACACUAACUGGAGGACCGAACCGACUAAUGUUGAAAAAUUAGCGGAUGACCUGUGGCUGGGGGUGAAAGGCCAAUCAAACCGGGAGAUAGCUGGUUCUCCCCGAAAGCUAUUUAGGUAGCGCCUCGUGAACUCAUCUUCGGGGGUAGAGCACUGUUUCGGCUAGGGGGCCAUCCCGGCUUACCAACCCGAUGCAAACUACGAAUACCGAAGAAUGUUAUCACGGGAGACACACGGCGGGUGCUAACGUCCGUCGUGAAGAGGGAAACAACCCAGACCGCCAGCUAAGGUCCCAAAGUCAUGGUUAAGUGGGAAACGAUGUGGGAAGGCACAGACAGCCAGGAUGUUGGCUUAGAAGCAGCCAUCAUUUAAAGAAAGCGUAAUAGCUCACUGGUCGAGUCGGCCUGCGCGGAAGAUGUAACGGGGCUAAACCAUGCACCGAAGCUGCGGCAGCGACGCUUAUGCGUUGUUGGGUAGGGGAGCGUUCUGUAAGCCGUUGAAGGUGUGCUGUGAGGCAUGCUGGAGGUAUCAGAAGUGCGAAUGCUGACAUAAGUAACGAUAAAGCGGGUGAAAAGCCCGCUCGCCGGAAGACCAAGGGUUCCUGUCCAACGUUAAUCGGGGCAGGGUGAGUCGACCCCUAAGGCGAGGCCGAAAGGCGUAGUCGAUGGGAAACAGGUUAAUAUUCCUGUACUUGGUGUUACUGCGAAGGGGGGACGGAGAAGGCUAUGUCAGCCGGGCGACGGUUGUCCCGGUUUAAGCAUGUAGGCGGAGGU